rnacentral:sRNA from 2 species
UUGUGGCAAUGGUGAGGAUGGCGAUGAGGAAUUGAGACAGAUAAUAGCGAGAAUAUUGCUAGUCGCUUGAGCUCUAAAAUGGCGACGUGUGAUAUAUUUUCCGGCGCGGGCUUUGUAUCCCGGGUACCACUGUUUUUCUUUUCUUUCUUUCUUUCUUUCUUUUUUUUUUUGGGACCAUAGGGUGCAUGUAAUCUUUAAGGGUAUAUUGAGUUGGGAAGUUGUUUGAGGGGGUGUAGGAUAUUUCUAUUAUUAAGGGUGAGUAAGUCUCGCGGGAUCGAGAGGAGUACGUGUGGAAAGGUGUAUCUAUGCGUGUAGCCGUCAAAUAUGUUGAAAAUUUAUAUGUGGAGAUAGUACAAGGAUAAUUGUUUUGAUUUGGUUGCAGUGUUGGAUUCAUUGCACGAGAGUCAAUAUUAAUACUAAUCCAAACCUAUCCGAUGCCAGAUCUGCUUUGGCUUGAGUAGCGAGACACAUGUGAAUGAAAUAUCUAGGUAUAGCGGAGAAGGGGAUAAAGGGUUUCAGAAGAAAAAAAUCGGCAGUUUGAAGAUAUCUGAAGUAGAAGAGAGACUUUGGAGUCUAAUGAACAAGUUAGGUCAAGGGGAUAUCUGGAUAUCAAAGUUGCGUGUUCCUCCACGGCACACAGUUGGAAUGGCAAGCCCUGGUAUGAAGGGAUGCCGCCCAUGUCCCGUUGCAUGUCGUGCUGGUUAUUUGGAAAGUUGAGGCCCGCAUACAUAGCCUGGAGGCCUUCUUUGUUAUAAGAGGCAUUGACCGAAGCUCAAUUGUUUCAAUAGAUGUGAGCCGAAGUUUCGAUACCGUUUGUCGGUGACUAAGGAAAUUUCUGUGGGUUUAAUCAUCGGAGGUCGUCGGCAUGUCAUUCCAUUGCUGGCAUUCGGCCUUCGGGUUGAGCAAACUGAAGAAUUUGGCGCUCGAAUCCCUCGAGUGUGAUGUUAAAAUCCGCGGAUUUUAACAUGAGGAAAGAGAGUAAUAGCUCAGUGAAUUGGAAUUGGAGC